rnacentral:lncRNA from 1 species
UAAACCAUCAACACAUUCACAUUCUCAAAUACAUAAAUGCAUACUCAAUUAUUCACUCUAAGUACUUCAUUAAACCCAAUAUCAAGUUUGGAAAAGUUCCACGGCUCAUAGAAAAAGUUACGAUAAGUUUUCACAAAAAUCCACAUGACCCAUGUGUAGUAAUUUGAUCAUAACUCAGGUUCUAAAAAUCAUUUGCACGUCAA